rnacentral:lncRNA from 1 species
UUCCCUUCUCCCACCUCUUUUCUUUCCACCUCAUUACCAUCUUGUUUCUCAGGAUGCUGAUUCAGUCGCAGACCAAUUUCAGCUGCAUUUUAUUACUGAAAUCCUCCUCUUGCAAAGGAGGAAAUUGAAAGUGAAACAUAACCUGGUGUUCCCAGCCAUGUUGGCUCAGGCGCCGGAAAGAGCAUCUUCAGACCACCUCACUAUCUAGCAAGAGUUUCUGGUGACCAGGAUGACACCUGCUGGGACACCUUACUCACUCCAGCAUCUGCAGACGGGAUCCUGGGAGAACCAGCAGAAGUUGCCAAAGAGUGAGAAUUCUCACCAAAGUUUACUAAAAUUCAAAUAAGCUCUUGUCAUCUCUGUUACAGAAAUUGUCAGCAAGAAAGAUACCUUAAGAUGAUGACUUACCCUUAGAAGCUUAUGAAGCCUUGCAAAUGAUUCACCACCUGCUCUUCUCUAUCUUCGAGGCAGUACAUGAGUGACCCCAUCCUUCUGCCUCCACAAUAGGAUCCUGGCUCAGCAAGGGUCCAGGGUGCUGUGGCACCAUGCCCAAGAGAGCCAGACUUGUCCCUCAGUCUGGUGACAGUCAUGUGACAGCCCCCAUGGCAAGUCAGACCACAACCUAUGUCCCUGAGUUUCAGAGCAACACUUUCCCACUAGACUCAAAACUUCCUAAGGGCAGGGACCUUGUGAAUCAGUGUUAUAUUUCCAGGGCCCAGCGAGGUGCUCAAUAAAUACAUGUUAAUUAAUUAAACGGAUGAAAGAACAAAUAAAUCGAAUGUCAAGUAAAA